rnacentral:rRNA from 1 species
UACGUAGGGUGCAAGCGUUGUCCGGAAUUAUUGGGCGUAAAGAGCUCGUAGGCGGUUUGUUGCGUCGGCUGUGAAAUCCCGAGGCUCAACCUCGGGUCUGCAGUCGAUACGAGCAAACUAGAGUGUUGCAGGGGAGACUGGAAUUCCUGGUGUAGCGGUGAAAUGCGCAGAUAUCAGGAGGAACACCGAUGGCGAAGGCAGGUCUCUGGGCCAUAACUGACGCUGAGAAGCGAAAGCGUGGGGAGCGAACAGG